AUGAAGCAUGCAGGCCUGGGUGAAGGAAUACCUCCUGACAACUCCGGGAAUGAUGGCUAUGCUAAUAAUGGGUAUAGUGCCCGUGAAGAAGAAAAUGAGACACUCACUGAAAAUCUGAGAAGCAAAGUAACUGCUAUAAAAUCUUUUUCCAUUGAAAUAGGCCAUGAAGUUAAAACCCAAAAUAAAUUAUUAGCUGUAAUGGAUUCACAAUUUGAUUCUACAACUGGAUUUCUAGGUAAAACUAUGGGCAAACUGGAGAUUUUAUCCAUAAGGAGCCAAACAAAGCUGCUGUGCUCUGCAAUGCUGUUUCAUUUAUUUGUCUUUUUUUUGUCAUUUAUUGGAUUAGUAAACUGAGGUGA
rnacentral:lncRNA from 1 species